UCUGUGUGUAGGUGUGGAGGACAGUGAUGAUGAUGGAGUCAGCAGGUCAGCUCCAGGCAGCAGAGGUCAUGAGGUCAGAUGUCAGGAAGCGAUGGACGAGUCAGAGCUGAUGGUUUGAAACUCCUUCUUCUUUGAGAGCCCCUCCCACCCUGAGGAGCUUACUUCCUGUUUAAAGGGCGUUCUUCCUCCCCACUGUCCCACCGUAUGAAGCACUCGGAGGCGACUGCUGUGAUUUGAGCUGCAAAGUAAUCGUCCAAGGUGUGUUUCAGUGUGGCUGCUGAGGAAGAGGAGUUGCUUCAUCAAUUUGAACUGUAGCUCAGGAUCAGCGACCCCUGUGACCCCUGAUCACACACACACACACUCACACACACACACACACACGCAGCCUGUAACACAGUAACCCAGAACGUGCCUUACUGACCUCACCUGACGGUGUGGGCGUGGCCUAACGGUCGCACCUGGGACUGUUUGUAUUAGCCGUCCUGAUGCUGAUGAUGAAGAGUAGAGUCUAAUAAAUUACUAAAGCCUUACAGACUGAUGUUUGUGUGGUCCCUCUGUGUUGUCUCUCUGUGGGGGUGUGACAUCACACACAGUGCAUGCUGGGAUGCUGGGUCAGGCUGACAGAUGGAGAGAAAACAGCGAAAUCAGAGAAAGAAUAUCUAAUCCUUAAUCCAGCGAGCCCCUCCCCCUGCACACACACACACACAAUCCUGGAAACAAACACAGGAUUAGGAUUAACUGAUGAUCUUUAAAUCGGUCAAAAUUCGAAUGGACUUUGGUUCACAGCUUGCUCCUCUCCUCUAAAGCUGACCUUUGACCUGCAGCUCAGCAGUCAGCUCCUCCUCCCUGUGAGGCUGCUGGCCCUUUAAGAGAGGAAGAGCACAGGAUGAGCCCCCCCCUCACACACACACACACACACCCUCCUCCUCCUCAGCCGCACAUUGUUCUGUGGCUCCGGGAGAAGCCACUUCCUCCUGCUGCUGCUGCUCAGCCCGCCGCAAACGCACAGACAGACAGUUUCAGCGCCUCCGACGGAGGGACGGCGUCUGUCUGUGCGUCCGACGGGAUCAGCUGAGGGGGGCGGACACGUGAGCACAGACAAAGACUCGCAGACAGACGAACAGACUGGACGAAUGGACUGACAGGAUGCGGCACCGCUGGACCCUCGGGCUCGCCCCCAGGUAGCCCACACCUGAGGUGAGGUGUGACUGUUGGUUACCAUGGUGCCCAGGCCAUCGUCAGGGGAGCUAUGGGGGCUCCACCUGAUGCCCCCCCGGAUCCUGGUGGACUGCUGCCUGCCUAACGGUAUGAUGGUUAGCCUGGAGUGUCUGAGGGAAACUCCUCUCAUCAGCAUCAAGCAGCAGCUCUUCUCCGAGGCCAGGAAGUACCCCCUGUACCACCUGCUGCAGGU